GAAAUGCGAUAAGUAAUGUGAAUUGCAGAAUUCAGUGAAUCAUCGAAUCUUUGAACGCACCUUGCGCUCCUUGGUAUUCGUUGGAGCAUGCCUGUUUGAGUAUCAUGAAAUCUUCAAAGUAAAUCUUUUGUUAACUCAAUUGGUUUCUACUUUGGUAUUGGAGGUCUUUGCAGCUUCACACCUGCUCCUCUUUGUUCAUUAGCUGGAUCUCAGUGUUAUGCUUGGUUCCACUCGGCGUGAUAAGUUAUCUAUCGCUGAGGACACUGUAAAAGGUGGCCAAGGUAAAUGCAGAUGAACCGCUUCUAAUAGUCCAUUGACUUGGACAAUACUUUUAUGAUCUGAUCUCAAAUCAGGUAGGACUACCCGCUGAACUUAAGC
rnacentral:misc_RNA from 1 species